GACGAACGCUGGCGGCGUGCUUAACACAUGCAAGUCGAACGGAAAGGCCCUGCGUUUGUGGGGUGCUCGAGUGGCGAACGGGGGAGUAACACGUGAGUAACCUGCCCUUGACUUUGGGGUAACUUCAGGGAACUGGGGCUAAUACCGGGUAGGAGCUCCUGCUGCAUGGUGGGGGUUGGAAAGUUUCGGCGGUUGGGGCUGGACUCGCGGCUUAUCAGCUUGUUGGUGGGGUAGUGGCUUACCAAGGCUUUGACGGGUAGCCGGCCUGAGAGGGUGACCGGCCACAUUGCGACUGAGAGACGGCGCAGACUCCUACGUGAGGCAGCAGUCGGGAACAUGGCACAACGGGCGGAAGCCUGUGGCAGCAACGCCGCGUGCGGGAUGCCGUCCUUCGGGGUGUAAACCGCUUUCGCCGGUGACGAAGCGUGAGUGACGGUAAUGGGUAAAGAAGCACCGGCUAACUACGUG
rnacentral:rRNA from 1 species